GCUCUCUGCAGUGACCCUCCAUUGAGCUGUGGUAAAGGGGAAUCGGGGGAACCACUGGACAUGGCUCCAGCCCACCCUGAGUGCACCCAGCGGUGUGGACUGGAGAAUGCACCCAGGACUUACUAAUGACUCAGGUACGCUGGGAGGGUUUGCAGACACCCACUUGACUCGGUCCGUGUGACGGGAUUUAACUAUUCUGCCUAUAGUGCCCAACUACCUUGGCUGGUCCCACGAUAGACAUGCUGGCUGUCUAAAAGUGUCAUUUGAGGAAAAGACAGGAGUUGGGGACCUAGACCAGCUAAUGGCACUGCCCCCAGGGCCUUAAAGCCUUAGAUCAGAUCAGUUAUUAAAACAGGACUUUCUCAUAACAACCCAGCCACCUCAGCAGAACGCCCACGAGUACCCACUGUCCCAACUGUUCUGCAGUAGAAGUUGGCACCUUUCCUAAGUGGGCAAACUGUGUAAGUACUUGUCCAAUUCGACAUAAGGUGUCUAGAACAGUGGGUCCACCUUGGACUGGUCUCCUAAAAUCGACAAAAGGCUGUUGUGCAAGGGCACUGCCACGACCCCUGGAGGAUUUGUUAGCACCAUCCUGACCUUCAGUGAAGGUGGCAUUCAGAAAGGUGUCUGGUGCCUACAUCUUGCUGACCGACCUUUACCAGAGUUCGUCGGCAGAAACUGGAAGGAAGGUCCUUGCUCUGGCCUACGGGCCUGUGUUCGGUCUCCUUAGGUUUUAAUCACUGGACGUGGGAAGUGGGAAGGAGAGGUGACAGAUACCUUGUGACAUGUGAUAAAGGUAAUCUGAAUGACUCUAUCACCAGGUGUAUAAGGGGAGGAAUGCAGAUGCUCCUCAGCCCUCUUUUGUCUCGUUGCCAGCGAUUAUUUCAGGGCCGUGGUGCGCCGAUGCUGGUUCUCAGGUCUUAAACACACACACGCCCAGUGAGCGAGACCAACGUGCUCCUGGACCCGUGACAGUGGGAGCUGUUGCCUCGGUUUCCAGCUCCGGUGGCCUUAUCUGAAAACAUUCAGCAUGCAGAUUUUCUUAAUGCUUUGGCUCAGAUUUCUUCCAAGGCUCUUCAUAGUCAAAUAAAUAUUGAUGAAAGGACUGAGACUAAGCCAGAUGCCUUAGAGGCUACUGUCAUAAAUACUGGUCAUGAGCUUUCAGCUUUGAAAUUCAAGGAAACACUUCAAUGUCACGCGGACUGUAAGUCUGUGGGUGUUACUGCUGCCGAAUACACGGCUCCCCAACGGGGUUGGGAGAAGGUUGACAACCAUUUGUUGGGUAUUUGGCAAAAUAAUAAUAACAGCUUGGAUCUUUUGGAGUUACAUCAUCACAUUCAAGAAAUACAAAAAAGUGAGAUUGAUUUUUCGGCUCCUGCUUCCUUAGCUGAUCAAAUAUUAAAAGAAUUAAACGGCUUUAACCCUGAAACAUUCCGAAACACUCUGCCUGGUCUAUCCUUGUCUUGUUCUCUUUGCUGCGGAUUCUCUCUUAUAUUGUCAUUGUAGGAGGAGAUCCUUCAGAACAUGGAUUCAGGGACUCGAAACAGUGACCCAUCACCUGCUUUUACAAAGAAAGCAGGGGGAACAUGUGGGAGCCACUCUGAACGAUUUGCCCCUUCCAUCCUGGAGCAGAGAGGCUCUGACCACCACUGCAUCUCCUGGUGACCUGGACAUUGCCCCGCCCUGGAAGUUUGAGGACGCAUCUUCAGACAUAGGUGUGUCGCCCCAUGGCCCUUUGGACGAAUUACACUCACCUGUCCCUUGUAACCCUGCCCCUUCUGGCCUUUUGUGGAUGGAACUUUCUAAGAAUAAGGUCCCCCCAAUAAAAGCCCACUUAUGAACGUGCUCGCUCUCGCCAGCCUCCCCUGACUUUCUCCUGCCCUCCCGUGUGGGGAGCCGGAGCCCGAGGGCAGAGAAGCCAUCCUGAAGCUUGUUUCAAGGUAAAGUGUGUCCGUGUUUCAUUUGGUGUCCCUGGAAAUCCACACGAGUGACCUUAAGUACAGCUGCCCACGCGGGUUGGGGGCAGCACCCGCUUCCUCCGUGAGCCGAGUCGUGCUGCGCCCCUGCCGAGCACAGCCUUGGAGCCCAGGGUCCAGGAGAGGACAGGGACACGGAAUGCAGAGGUGGGGGCUGCAGGGCCUGCUGCUGCGGCCCCAGGGAGCCCUGCCUUAAGCUGCACCCUGACUCACAGCUUCUUGUUGCAUUUAAGCG
rnacentral:lncRNA from 1 species